UAAUGUAUAACAUAUACAAAUAAUUUUCGAGGGGUUGGAGAAGUUAGUAAAUUAUUUUUGGUUUGAGGUGAAGAAAAUAUAAGAUGAUGCAGAUGAUUUGCAUGCAAUGGUGUUAAAUAAAGCAAAUCUGAUGAUUUUUAAGACCUUUAUCAAUUUGAUUUUGAAAUUUUUCCAGAAGAUGACGGAUCUUCAAGUGAAAAGUCGAUAUUCUUGGUUGUGGGGUCAAUUGAAAUUAAAAAAAUAAUAACCCACUAUUUGUUAAAUUUGAAAUUAUCUCUAGAUAAAGUUGUUGGAAUUUUUUUUAAAGAGGAACUGUAUCAAAAAGCAGAAAUAUCCUAUUUCCAGGUUAAAAAGGAUUUUAUAUCUACGACUGCCGAGUCCCAUUGCACAGCUCUUGAUUGUAAAAAUUUUGGUUUGAGGAAUGCCCAUUACACACUAAGGCAACAAUAUCAAAUCCCAGCUUUUUAACAUUUGGAUAACUGCAAUUACCCACUCUUUAAUGAUUUUAGAGUUGAUAGGAACAUCAGGCACCAUGCAACGACGUCAUUGAGUGCCAUCAGCUUCUGCUCCAUAAAAUUUUCACCCAACAAGCUCGAUGCGUCUAAAAGGAUAUAGUUCAUCAAAAAUUAUUACUCUUACAUGUUCUGAAGGAAGAUACUCUAAUUGCGACUUCAGAUAUUUGCAUAUAGAAGAGGAUAUCCCUGCAUUUAAAUUUAAAGCUCCAGACAAUUUUCUCAUGUAUGAAAUACUUGGCAAAAAAAAACAUCUAUCAUAUACACUUUGUCUAUAUAGAGAAGGACACAGUUUUCCCAUAGCAUACACGUUGCCAGAAACUGCAUGAAGUACCGUCUCCUCAGUUUUGGUUUUGAUACAUUGUUUAACUGUUCAGCUAUAAAAUUCAUUUUUCUUUCAAAAUAAUUUUCUUCAUUUUCAAUAAUAUUUAGAAUUGUUAAACACUGUUCAAGCUUUGAUUUCGACAAAAUCUCAGAAGAGAGAGAUUUACAAAAAGAUAUUGUGCCAUGAUUAUAUAAUGUAAAUUUUAAAUUAUCAAAUAUUGGAAGAAUUUGGGGAACCGUUCCAUUAAUAUAGGAAAAAAGAAGACUAUCUUCGUUUAUUAUAAGACGGCAAACAUCUAAAAUCGAUUUUGUUUUUUAUAUCCAAUAAGGUGUUAUUUUAUUCCUUUCAAAAUAGGUUACUUUUAGUUGACGAUUCGUUUCAUUUUGGAAUCUGUAAUGAUUACAGAAAAAAUAUUAGUACACAAAAUACACUUAUGAACGUUUGCCUUGGCUUCUAAUUACUAUUGUUUUACCUAGUAGCCGAACUUCAAGCAGUAGUUCUCGGAGCUGGACUGGUUUUGAGUAAUAUGGCUUGAUCACCCUCAAAUAUAGAUGGAACUGCAUCUUUCUUUAAGAAACGGCGAGAGAGAAUAGCUAGUUUUUUUCUAUGGGGGCUUGAAUCCGUUUUUUCAGAUUUAUAGUCCUUGUCUCAAAUGUUUGCUGUACAAUAUUGAUUUUUUAUUCGGUCCCUAAUCUUUCCUCCUAAGUAUAUUAAUAGAAACUUUUAGUAUUUAUACAUUUGUUCAAAGUUUACCUAAAAUAUCAGUGAAAGAAAAAUAAGCAAAUAGUAAUUA
rnacentral:lncRNA from 1 species